AGUUCUAUGGUCUAGUGGUAUGACGUUCGCUUCACAUUUGGUGAUAUAGCUGCUUGCAAAGCGCGAAAGGUCCCGGGUUCGAUCCCCGGUGGAACUA